UACGUAGGGCGCAAGCGUUGUCCGGAAUUAUUGGGCGUAAAGAGCUCGUAGGCGGCUUGUCACGUCGGAUGUGAAAGCCCGGGGCUUAACCCCGGGUCUGCAUUCGAUACGGGGCUAGCUAGAGUGUGGUAGGGGAGAUCGGAAUUCCUGGUGUAGCGGUGAAAUGCGCAGAUAUCAGGAGGAACACCGGUGGCGAAGGCGGAUCUCUGGGCCUUACCUGACGCUGAGGAGCGAAAAGCAUGGGGAGCGAACAGA
rnacentral:rRNA from 1 species